UAUCAGUCAUGCAUAGCAUAUCAAUAAGCGGAGGAAAAGAAACUAACAAGGAUUCCCUUAGUAACGGCGAGUGAAGCGGGAAGAGCUCAAAUUUGAAAUCUUCAAGGUUUUACCUUGACGAAUUGUAGUUUAAAGAAGUGUUUUCUGUUGAAGUUUUGGUAAAAGUUCUUUGGAAUAGGACAUCAUAGAGGGUGAGAAUCCCGUAUUUGACCAUUACUUUCAGCUUUGUGAUACACUUUCAAAGAGUCGGAUUGUUUGGGAAUGCAGUCCAAAAUGGGUGGUAAAUUUCAUCUAAAGCUAAAUAUUGGCGAGAGACCGAUAGCGAACAAGUACCGUGAGGGAAAGAUGAAAAGAACUUUGAAAAGAGAGUUAAACAGUACGUGAAAUUGUCAAAAGGGAAGCGUUUGACACCAGUGUUGUUUUCUCGAAAAUCAAUUAAAAAGAGUUGGAUUUUGUGUUGUAUUGACUUUAUCGGCUUUCUUCACUCUUUUCCAGCUUUUUUUAAUGCACUUUUCGUUUAACAAGUCAACAUCAGUUUCUUUUGUUGUAAAAAGGUCAUUGGAAGGUGGCUUUCUCUUCGGAGAAAGUGUUUAUAGCCUUUGACUCAUGCAAUCGGAGAGACUGAGGUCUGCAGCGUAGAUCCUUCGGGGUUAGAUACAUUUGUGCUAAGAUAUAGCUUUUCAUAGACAACUUGUUGACUAUGUUUAGUCUUGUAGCUUACUCGCUUAUGCUAUUUUACCUACGCUUAGGAUGUUGAACUCUAUCACACACAG
rnacentral:rRNA from 1 species